UCUUUGUAUCUGUUGAACAGCGACUCCAGUGUCUAUUGUCAUUUCUGUGUCUAUUACCAUUAUUGUGGCUGGAAUUGUAGCUGUGCUUGCAUUUCUCUGCAGACGAAGAAGAAGAGGAAGGAACACUUUCAAACAUGACUCAAAUUACUACAAAAAUUUUGAAAUGCCUCAUGGAACACAACCUGAUAUGCAAGACAUGAACGAGAAGGAUAACAAAG